AUUGAACGCUGGCGGCAGGCCUAACACAUGCAAGUCGAACGGCAGCACGGGUCUUGCCACCUGGUUCAGAGGGGGACAGGGGUGCGUAGUAUAUGGAUAUAUGUCGUGUUGUGGGGGAACGCCCGGAAAAAGGCGGAUUUACCCCACAACCCCUUACGGGCUAAGGGCGGGAGCUCUGGAUCUCACGCCCUCUCGCGAUCGCAGGUGGCGAUGUCGGAUUAGCGAGUUGGUGGGGUAAAGGCCUACCAAGGCGACGAUCGGUAGCUGGUCUGAGAGGACGACCAGCCACACUGGAACUGAGACACGGUCCAGACUCCUACGGGAGGCAGCAGUGGGGAAUUUUGGACAAUGGGCGAAAGCCUGAUCCAGCCAUGCCGCGUGUGUGAAGAAGGCCUUCGGGUUGUAAAGCACUUUUGUUCGGAAAGAAAUGCAGGGAGUUAAUACAGUCGGGUGAUGACGGUACCGAAAGAAUAAGCACCGGCUAACUACGUG
rnacentral:rRNA from 1 species